rnacentral:tRNA from 1 species
AAUCCGGUAGUUCAGCUGGUUAGAAUGUCGCACUGUCAUCUCGUCCUAAAGACGAGACGGGUUCGAGUCCCGUCCGGA